rnacentral:rRNA from 1 species
GACGAACGCUGGCGGCAUGCCUAACACAUGCAAGUCGAACGGUAAGGCUUCCUUCGGGAAGUACACGAGUGGCGAACGGGUGAGUAACACGUGGGUAACCUACCCUUGACUGGGGGACAACCGAGGGAAACUUCGGCUAAUACCGCAUAACGUGCAUUGCCUCCAGGUGGUGUACCAAAGCUCCGACGGUUAAGGAUGGGCCCGCGGCAGAUUAGCUUGUUGGUGAGGUAACGGCUUACCACGGCGACGAUCUGUAGCCGGUCUGAGAGGACGAGCAGCGCAACUGGAACUGAGACACGGUCCAGACUCCUACGGGAGGCAGCAGUGGGGAAGCUUGCGCAAUGGGCGAAAGCCUGACGCAGCAAUGCCUCGUGAGGGAAGACGGCCUUAGGGUUGUAAACCUCUUUCAGCAGGGACGAACACUGACGGUACCUGCAGAAGAAGCCCCGGCUAACUACGUGCCAGCCGCCGCCGUAA